rnacentral:rRNA from 2 species
UGAGGAAUAUUGGUCAAUGGACGCAAGUCUGAACCAGCCAUGCCGCGUGCAGGAUGACGGCUCUAUGAGUUGUAAACUGCUUUUGUACGAGGGUAAACGCAGAUACGUGUAUCUGUCUGAAAGUAUCGUACGAAUAAGGAUCGGCUAACUCCGUGCCAGCAGCCGCGGUAAUACGGAGGAUUCAAGCGUUAUCCGGAUUUAUUGGGUUUAAAGGGUGCGUAGGCGGUUUGAUAAGUUAGAGGUGAAAUUUCGGGGCUCAACCCUGAACGUGCCUCUAAUACUGUUGAGCUAGAGAGUAGUUGCGGUAGGCGGAAUGUAUGGUGUAGCGGUGAAAUGCUUAGAGAUCAUACAGAACACCGAUUGCGAAGGCAGCUUACCAAACUAUAUCUGACGUUGAGGCACGAAAGCGUGGGGAGCAAACA